GCCCCUGUAGUAUAAUGGAUAGAAUAGAACCCUGCGGAGGUUCAGAUCUGGGUUCGAUUCCCAGCAGGGGCG
rnacentral:tRNA from 1 species